CGGCCCCACCGGCCCCACCGGCCCCACCGGCCCGCGCCGCGCACAGCCGCGUCCCCCGGAGCCGCCCCGCCGCGCGCCCCCAGCCCGCCUGCCGCUGCGGGACCCUCCGGGGCGCCCCGAGCCCGCGCGCCGCGCUCGUCCAGGUGAUUCCGAGGCCCUGCCCCACAUCACAGAACCUGAUAUUCUGCUUACGGGAAAGUGGCACUGAGGGUGUCGUUGUCUAAGAAAACAGGUCCCACUCCUCCCUGCACCCAGCAGGCUGUCUGGGUUUUCACGAGGAGCUCUGCUUUGCGAAGCUGCACUGGGACGUCAGGGCAGCAUCCGGGCACAGCUCACUAGCCCAGGGCAGGCAGCAGACACGUGGGGUGGCACCCCGAAGUGCCCCAAAGCCUCCUGGGCUUCUGGAAGCCCUGUGUCCUGGCCCAUGUGCCAUCCAGCCUCAUCCUCCACUAGUGGCGAGCCCGGUUCACGUCCUCAGCUGCCGGGCAGGCCCUGAGUGGGUACUGGGGUGUAGCCUUCAGAGGAAGGGGUGGCUGCGGUUGGUUCCUGUGUCCACCAGUAUUGACAAAGCAUCUGUGCCGAGGGCUUCAGUGGGCAAACACCAAGGAGCUGAGGCACCAUGGCGGGAGGGUGGGGGUGGGGGUGGUGUCCAGGAAGGGGGUUCUGAGGAGGUGAAAUUAAGCUGAGACCUGAAGCUUCCAGCUGCUUGAAGAAAGAGGAAAGGCCAUUCCCUCAACUGAGGGGGUAGGGAGGUGCUCAAACUGCGCAAAGGCCCUGAGGCAGCAGCAAGCACAGGUUAUCUGAGAGUGACACUACUGUGAUUUAAAACUUGAGGGACAAAAAAAACUAAAAAAAAUAAUAAAUAAAUAAAACUUGAUGGACAGCUGUUUGAACCUCCUCUCGACCACCUCUUGGCAUCCAUCCCCUCCUUAGCU